GACAGAGGUCCCGAGCGUUAUGCGGAAUCACUGGGCUUAAAGCGUGUGUAGGCGGAUGCCUAAGUACCUUGUGAAAUCCCACGGCUUAACCGUGGAACUGCUUGGUAUACUGGGUGUCUUGAGCCACCUAGGGGCGAGCGGAACAAACGGUGGAGCGGUGAAAUGCGUAGAUAUCGUUUGGAACGCCAAUGGUGAAAACAGCUCGCUGGGGGUGUGCUGACGCUGGGACACGAAAGCCAGGGGAGCGAACGGG
rnacentral:rRNA from 1 species